GACGAACGCUGGCGGCGUGCUUAACACAUGCAAGUCGAACGGAGAUUCAGCAAUGGAUCUUAGUGGCGAACGGGUGAGUAACGCGUAGGCAAUCUGCCUUCUAGAUGGGGACAACAUCCCGAAAGGGGUGCUAAUACCGAAUGUUGUAGUUGGUUCGCAUGGACUAGCUACUAAAGGUGGCCUCUGAAUAUGCUACCGCUAGAAGAUGAGCCUGCGUCUGAUUAGCUAGUUGGAGGGGUAACGGCCCACCAAGGCUUCGAUCAGUAGCCGGUCUGAGAGGAUGAACGGCCACACUGGGACUGAGACACGGCCCAGGCUCCUACGGGAGGCAGCAGUGGGGAAUCUUCCGCAAUGGACGAAAGUCUGACGGAGCAACGCCGCGUGAGUGUAGAAGGUUUUCGGAUCGUAAAGCUCUUUCGUUAGGGACGAACGUGCUCUUUGUGAAUAAUGAGGAGUAAUGACGGUACCUAAAUAAGAAGCCACGGCUAACUACGUGCCAGCCGCCGCAGUAA
rnacentral:rRNA from 1 species